AGUUUGAUCCUGGCUCAGGAUGAACGCUGGCGGUCUGCUUAACACAUGCAAGUCGAACGGAGUCCUUCGGGAUUUAGUGGCGGACGGGUGAGUAACGCGUGAGAAUCUGCCCUUAGGUUGGGGACAACAGUUGGAAACGACUGCUAAUACCCAAUGUGCCGAGAGGUGAAAGGUUAACUGCCUGGGGAUGAGCUCGCGUCUGAUUAGCUAGUUGGAGUGGUAACGGCACACCAAGGCGACGAUCAGUAGCUGGUCUGAGAGGAUGAUCAGCCACACUGGGACUGAGACACGGCCCAGACUCCUACGGGAGGCAGCAGUGGGGAAUUUUCCGCAAUGGGCGAAAGCCUGACGGAGCAAGACCGCGUGAGGGAGGAAGGCCUAUUGGUUGUAAACCUCUUUUGAUAGGGAAGAACACAAUGACGGUACCUAUCGAAUCAGCAUCGGCUAACUCCGUGCCAGCAGCCGCGGUAAUACGGAGGAUGCAAGCGUUAUCCGGAUUUAUUGGGCGUAAAGCGUCCGUAGGUGGCAAACCAAGUCAGUUGUUAAAGCGUAGAGCUUAACUCUAUAAGGGCAAUUGAAACUGGUUAGCUAGAGUGCGAUAGGGGCAAGGGGAAUUCCCAGUGUAGCGGUGAAAUGCGUAGAUAUUGGGAAGAACAUCGGUGGCGAAGGCGCCUUGCUGGGUCUGCACUGACACUGAGGGACGAAAGCUAGGGGAGCGAAAGGGAUUAGAUACCCCUGUAGU
rnacentral:rRNA from 1 species